rnacentral:rRNA from 1 species
UACGUAGGGGGCAAGCGUUGUUCGGAAUUACUGGGCGUAAAGGGCGCGUAGGCGGCACGGCAAGUCAGGGGUGAAAGCCCGGGGCUCAACCCCGGAAUGUCUUUUGAAACUGCCGAGCUAGAGUGCGGAAGAGGCAACUGGAAUUCCCAGUGUAGCGGUGAAAUGCGUAGAUAUUGGGAAGAACACCUGAGGCGAAGGCGGGUUGCUGGGCCGACACUGACGCUGAGGCGCGAAAGCCAGGGGAGCGAACGGG